UUGAGGAAGCAUUAAGUAUGUGGAAUAAGAAAUGUCAAAAAUAGACUGUAUAGAUUCUGGUGAAAAUUCAUAAAUUAGAGGCAAUGUCUUGUGAUCCUUUUGUCUGGGAAUUUAAUCGUCCUAAAUCUGGUUUUUUCUAAAAGUUGUUUUAUUUUUAGAAAAUAGAAAAACACAAAUGAGUUUGAAAGCUUUCAACAAUAGCUCAUGAUUUGAACCAGAGCAAUAGUGUUUUCUUGGAAUUCCCAGAUCUUUGUUUAUCGGAUUCUUCGUAAACGCUUCCUUAUAGUAUUGUUGCUUCAGGCACUUGAGCUUUCCAAAGACGAAGUUGUGAAUAGUAUGGAAAUUGCUACGAUUUUUUAAUUGUUUUCUCUUCUUUGUGGCACAAUGAUUACGACUCGGUUUCUAAGAUUCCGAUGAAUGCCGAACUUGGCAUAUCACUUUUUACAUAAUACUAGAAAACUUUAUGCUUAGUUUUCCUUUGAAUUUUCCAAACCAAAAUUAACCUAAAAAAUUAACCAACAAAAAAUUUGCGAAUAUCUAGAAUUCAUCAUGACAGUUGUGAUCGGUAACGAUAGCAGAGUAUGAACAAAGUACUAAAAUUUCACCAUGUCUACACGACAAAAUGUUAGCAACAAUUGGCUCGCUUAUCACCACGUUUAAUGAUAGUAGGAUGCAGGUAUAGUGAAUGUGCAAUUGAGCAAGAAAAUAGUAAAAGAGGAGAUAUAAUUGAAGAACUUGAAAUAUCUUUCGUCGAUCAACUUUAUCUACAAAUUUUUCAAAGUUACAAACAACAACAGAUUUAUUGCUCCACAACCUCCCCUCAACCGUCUUGACCAAUAGAAACGAGGUUUACGAUUCCGCCAGAAAUGUUGAAGAUGUGGAGCGGUUUCAUCGCAUCGAAAGACAACUUUGUUGGGCAAGUCAACUGCAACUUACACUGUGCAAAUAAAGACAAAUUUGGAAAUGGAAGAUGAUGAAGUUUGAAAGUCGCCUUUGUUUACUAAUGGCGGAGGCAAGGACCAUUUCAAAGCACGCAGUCAAAAAUCAAAUGCAAAGUACAUUUUGUUCAUCUUUGCAAGUUGUUCAACAAAAUAGCAUUGGUUUGGUUUCCUGAUCUAUCGAUGUCAUUGUAACAAUGUUUUAUUCUACAUAGAAACUAUGUAGAGUGUUGUUAACUGGAAUAAGGUUUCAUUACAUCAUUCACUUGGAAACAUUCAAGGAAUCAUGAAAGAAGGAUCUGAUAAGAAUCG